GCCGGGCGCGGUGGCGCGUGCCUGUAGUCUCAGCUACUUGGGAGGCUGAGGUGGGAGGAUCGCUUGAGUCCAGGAGUUCUGGGCUGUAGUGCGCUAUGCCAAUCGGGUGUCUGCACUAAGUUCAGCAUCAAUAUGGUGACCUCCCGCGAGCAGGGGACCACCAGGUUGUCUAAGGAGGGGUGAACCGGCCCAGGUCAGAAACGGAGCAGGUCAAAACUCCCGUGCUGAUCAGUAGUGGGAUCGCGCCUGUGAAUAGCCACUGCACUCCAGCCUGGGCAACAUAGCGAGACCCCGUCUCU
ensembl:misc_RNA Metazoa_SRP Metazoan signal recognition particle RNA